AACGAACGCUGGCGGCAUGCCUAACACAUGCAAGUCGAACGAGACCUUCGGGUCUAGUGGCGCACGGGUGCGUAACGCGUGGGAACCUUCCCUUAGGCUCGGAAUAACUCCCCGAAAGGGGUGCUAAUACCGGAUAAUGUCUUCGGACCAAAGAUUUAUCGCCUUUGGAUGGGCCCGCGUUGGAUUAGCUAGUUGGUAGGGUAAAAGCCUACCAAGGCGACGAUCCAUAGCUGGUCUGAGAGGAUGAUCAGCCACACUGGGACUGAGACACGGCCCAGACUCCUACGGGAGGGAGCAGUGGGGAAUAUUGGAAAAUGGGGGAAAGCCUGAUCCAGCAAUGCCGCGUGAGUGAUGAAGGCCUUAGGGUUGUAAAGCUCUUUUACCCGGGAUGAUAAUGACAGUACCGGGAGAAUAAGCACCGGCUAACUCCGUG
rnacentral:rRNA from 1 species